rnacentral:rRNA from 1 species
UACGGAGGGUGCGAGCGUUGUCCGGAAUUAUUGGGCGUAAAGGGCUCGUAGGCGGUCUGUUGCGUCGGGAGUGAAAACUCAGGGCUUAACCCUGAGCCUGCUUCCGAUACGGGCAGACUAGAGGUAUGCAGGGGAGAACGGAAUUCCCGGUGUAGCGGUGAAAUGCGCAGAUAUCAGGAGGAACACCGGUGGCGAAGGCGGUUCUCUGGGCAUUACCUGACGCUGAGGAGCGAAAGUGUGGGGAGCGAACAGG